AUGGCGACGCCCACGCCCAUGGCAGGCGAGGGGACGCUCGCCGCGGUGAUGCCGCUGUUGCCGCCCCCGCCACCGGCGGCGGAGGCGGCCGCGGGGUCGGCGGCCGAGGCGCCGAUGCUGAUAUUCCUCUACUUCCACAAGGCGAUCCGCGCCGAGCUCGAGGGCCUGCACGGCGCCGCCGUGCGCCUCGCCACGGAGCGCGCCGGCGACGUGGGGGCACUGGCCGAGCGCUGCCGCUUCUUCGUCAACAUCUACAAGCACCACUGCGACGCCGAGGACGCGGUUAUCUUUCCAGCACUUGAUAUACGAGUCAAGAAUGUCGCUGGAACGUAUUCUCUAGAGCAUAAAGGCGAAAAUGACCUCUUUACCCAGCUUCUUGCUUUAUUACAACUCGAUAUUCAAAAUGACGAUGCUCUUCGGAGGGAACUUGCAUCCUGCACAGGAGCCAUACAAACGUGCCUCACCCAGCAUAUGUCCAAGGAAGAAGAACAGGUCUUCCCAUUGCUUACCAAGAAAUUUUCAUACGAAGAGCAGUCAGAUUUAGUAUGGCAGUUCUUAUGCAACAUUCCUGUAAAUAUGCUGGCAGAGUUCCUUCCGUGGCUCUCAGCUUCUGUUUCAUCUGACGAGCAUCAGGAUAUUCGUAACUGUUUAUGUAAAAUAGUUCCUGAAGAGAAACUUCUUAAACAGGUUGUAUUCACUUGGAUCGAAGGGAAAGCAACAAGAGAAGUGGCACAGAGUGUUGUCAGUGAUAAUUUGGAAAGAAGUCAUUGUUGCAAGGAUGCUUCCUUUGUUAAUCAAGCGGAGAAACUUAUUUAUCCACUUGAACAGUCUAAAGUUGGGCAUAUAAAGUAUACAGAAUCUAAUGAUUGUCAGGCUGACAGGCACCCCAUAGAUGAGAUUUUAUAUUGGCAUAAUGCUAUCCGUAAAGAAUUAAAUGAUAUAGCAGAGGAGACAAGAAGGAUGCAGCAGUCUGGAGAUUUUGCUGAUAUAUCAGCCUUCAAUGCGAGACUUCAGUUUAUUGCAGAUGUGUGCAUCUUCCACAGUAUCGCCGAGGAUCAGGUUGUAUUUCCUGCAGUCAAUAGUGAGCUGUCCUUCGUGCUGGAGCAUGCUGAAGAAGAGCGUCGAUUUAACAAUUUUAGAUGCUUAAUUCAGCAAAUCCAAAUGGCAGGAGCAAAAUCAACUGCAGCAGAGUUUUACUCUGAAUUGUGUUCACAUGCUGAUCAGAUAAUGGAGGCAAUUGAGAAACACUUCUGUAACGAAGAAACCAAGGUGCUUCCCCAAGCUAGGGUUCUUUUCUCUCCUGAGAAGCAAAGGGAACUUCUAUAUAGAAGUCUUUGUGUCAUGCCAUUGAAGCUAUUGGAACGUGUUCUACCAUGGUUGGUGUCAAAACUGAGCGAUGAGGAGGCAUCUUCUUUUCUUCAGAAUAUGCGCUUGGCAGCACCAUCAUCUGACACCGCAUUGGUCACUCUUUUCUCUGGUUGGGCAUGCAAGGCUCGCUCAGAGGAUAAAUCCAAUUCUGGAGAAUAUAUAUGCUUAACAUCAGGGGCAGCAAGAUGCCUGUUGGAUGAUGUAGAAGAGCUGAAAAAGUGUCAAUCAUUCUGCCCAUGUGCUUCACGUAUCAGUGCAGAUGUUGCUCUUCAUCUGGAAAAUGAAAAUGGUUCUAGGCCAGGCAAGCGAGGAAAUGAUGCAGAAUCUGUUCCUGGUACUAAUGGAAGUCACUGCUCUCAAAUUACUGACACUGUAGCAAGUCCAUGUAGCAAAAAACCUUGUUGUAUUCCUGGGUUGAGAGUAGACACGAGCAAUCUUGGCAUCGGUUCACUGGCUUCUGCAAAGUCCUUUCUCUCCCUGUCAUACAAUUCUUCUGCGCCCUCAUUAUAUUCAAGCCUUUUUUCAUGGGACACAGAUACAGCAUUGUCUUGUUCCGAUGGCAUCUCAAGACCAAUUGAUACCAUAUUCAAAUUUCACAAGGCAAUUCGCAAGGAUUUGGAGUACUUAGAUGUUGAAUCUGGAAAGCUCAUCGAUGGUGAUGAAUCUUGCCUUCGCCAGUUCAUUGGAAGAUUUCGUUUAUUGUGGGGUCUUUAUAGGGCGCACAGCAACGCUGAGGAUGAAAUCGUGUUUCCUGCUUUAGAAUCAAGAGAGCCAUUGCACAAUGUGAGCCAUUCAUACACUCUUGACCACAAGCAGGAAGAGCAAUUGUUUGAAGAUAUAUCUAAUGUUCUCUGUGAGCUUUCACAGCUACAUGAGAGCCUGAACCAGCCACAUACUGAAGCGAAUGAAGCAGAGAAACACUAUUUGAAUUCAUGUAAUGUGAUUGAUUCGACUAGAAAGUACAAUGAGCUUGCUACGAAGCUUCAAGGAAUGUGCAAGUCUAUCCGGGUUGCCUUGUCUAAUCAUGUCCACAGAGAAGAACUUGAGCUGUGGCCAUUGUUUGAUAAACAUUUUUCGGUGGAGGAACAGGAUAAGCUUGUAGGUCGUAUAAUUGGUACAACAGGUGCUGAGGUUCUCCAAUCAAUGCUACCUUGGGUUACAUCAGCGCUUAAUCAAGAAGAACAGAACAAGAUGCUGGAUACAUGGAAGCAAGCAACUAAGAAUACAAUGUUUGGUGAGUGGCUAAAUGAGUGGUGGAAGGGAGUUCCAACACCAUCUGAUUCUUCGUCAGAGGCAUCCCCCAUUCCGGAAGACAGUCAUUCACAAGACAAGCUUGACCAGAAUGACCAGAUGUUCAAGCCUGGCUGGAAGGACAUAUUUCGAAUGAACCAGAGUGAACUUGAGGCAGAGGUUCGAAAGGUUUCACGGGAUCCAACACUUGAUCCAAGGCGAAAGGCCUAUCUAAUCCAAAAUCUCAUGACCAGCCGCUGGAUAGCUGCUCAGCAAAAGCUACCGGAUCCAAGAUCAGAAGAGUGUAGUGAAGGUGCCGGUAUACCUGGAUGUUGUUCUUCUUAUCGUGACCAGGAGAAGCAAAUAUUCGGUUGUGAGCACUACAAACGGAACUGUAAGCUUGUUGCCGCUUGCUGUAACAAGCUGUUUACAUGCAGAUUCUGCCAUGAUAAAGUUAGCGACCAUACAAUGGAAAGGAAAGCAACACAGGAGAUGAUGUGCAUGGUAUGCCUGAAGGUUCAACCUGUCGGUCCGAAUUGCCAAACUCCAUCUUGCAAUGGACUAUCCAUGGCAAAGUAUUACUGUAAUAUCUGCAAAUUUUUUGAUGACGAAAGGACUGUCUACCAUUGUCCGUUUUGUAAUCUGUGUCGUCUUGGUAAAGGUCUUGGUGUUGAUUUCUUCCAUUGCAUGAAGUGCAAUUGCUGCCUUGGAAUGAAACUAACAGAACACAAAUGUCGGGAGAAGGGGCUAGAGACAAACUGUCCAAUCUGCUGUGACUUCCUAUUCACAUCAAGCGCGGCAGUUAGAGCUCUUCCUUGUGGUCACUUCAUGCAUUCAGCUUGCUUUCAGGCAUACACUUGCAGUCACUACACUUGUCCUAUCUGCUGCAAAUCCUUGGGAGAUAUGGCGGUGUACUUUGGCAUGCUUGAUGCGUUGUUGGCUGCUGAAGAGCUUCCCGAGGAAUACCGCGAUAGGUGUCAGGACAUUCUUUGUAAUGACUGUGAAAGAAAAGGGAGAUCUCAGUUUCAUUGGCUGUACCACAAAUGCGGCUCCUGUGGUUCUUACAAUACCAGAGUUAUCAAAACUGAUACGGCAGAUUGUUCUACCCCAAACUAG
rnacentral:rRNA from 1 species